UACUAUUUUGAAUACUACAGUUUUGUAGUAUAUCUUAAAAUCUGGGAUUGUGAUAUUGCCAGCUUUGUUCUUCUUUCUCAAGAUCCUUUUGGCCAUUCGAGGUCUUCUGUGCUUAGAUUUAUUCUAGUUCUGUGAAAGAUGUUGUUGGUAUUUUGAUAUAUUUUAUGCAUUUAUCCUGCGAAAACGUCCAUAGGCUUCACCAGCCCCCCAAAGGAGUGGAAAGUGCAAAACUGGGCUCACAUCUUCAACAUAUGGCUGUCAUAUCCCUUGGGCUGGGGAGAGCAGUUCUAGAACCUUUUAGAGGAGUGGGGCAGGAGGUUCUACACACUCCCAUCCAGUCCCUCCCCAGUGGCUUCAUACUAGACUCCCAGCCCAGGGCGUGGGGCCCUCUGAAGUCUCCUAGAACCUGGGGAGCACUCGGCCUCCGAGCAGGAGGCUAUGCUAGGCUUCUGCAUUCAGGGGCCUGAGCCCCAGGUCUCCGGGGUCCUCUCUAAAGCAACCUGAAUUCGCACCUGCAGGGAGAAAAGCUUAGCUCCCCCGCCCCAAGCCCGAUGCCGGUUUGACCCGGGCGGGAGCCAGGAGCUGGUCUCGGUGCCCGGGCGGCUCCCACCUCUCACGGACUGAGCGCCCCGGGUGCUGACUCAUGCUCGGACUCUCCCGUCCAGCCGGGUGCACGCCCACGACGUGCCCUCCUUCUCGCUUCUCCACUGCUUCCUCCCAGGCGCUUCCAGGCGCCCACACGCGCGCUCCCGUCCCGCCGCCGCCCCUCCUAGCAACCGCCCUCCGCUCCCCCUGCCAGAUCCGGAAACGGGCGGUCUGGUCCGCUGCUGCCUCCGGAACCCUGCAAGCCGCUAGGCCUCCGCCUCCGGCUCCCCUGCCCUCUGCUGAAACCACCCUGCUGAAGGUCGACCGAGCCCGCCUGCCCCGCGAGGACAGGUGGCCCUGGGCCUCCCACUCCCGCUCCCGCCCUGCGGCGCCGAUGCUCCGGCAGCCGCCUCUUCCCGGAUGGACCUGCUCGCUCCCCUGGUUUCCAUGACACUGCACUUUCCCACGCCGCCUCCGAGUUUCUGACAGCUCGUUUCCUCGCUGGCAUCGCCCCCCCCCCCCCCCCAGCCUCUCCCCGUGGGCCUGCCGAGGCGCUGCCCUGGGCUCUCGCUCCCUCCUCCCGCUUGCGUGCCCACGGGCUCCCCCUCCGCCCCUGCCUCGUGCCACCCCCCCACUGCUGCCUCUCCAAUGGCUGCCGUCCCUCCGUAGCCCCCAGUCCCACGUGGCUAGGGCUUACGGAACUCUUACCCUACCCCCACCCCAUGUCCUAAAUCCCUGGACGUCAGACUGGUGCCCCUGGAGGUGUUCAGGCGUGGUCUGGCCCGCCAGCCACAUGACCUGGUGGGAUGUCCUGGAGGUGACUUCACAUGCCCCCUGCGCCUGAGCCCCGCGGCAGGCCUGCGCGAGGUAAGGCUGUGAGGGUGCAAGGCUUACAGGAUGGGAUUCUGUAAAACGGCUGCACGAGUUCAAAUCCUGCCUCUGCUACUUGCCUCGGGCAGGGUCCUGUAUUUGUUCAUCCAUUUAUGUAGCAAAUGUUAAUCGAGCCACUUCUGUGUGCCAGACUCUGUUGAAAACACAAAUGGAAAAACCAAGCGGCUCCCCACACUCUUGAGUCAUGGCCUUAAUCAAAUAAGGUCCAAACAAACGCCAAACUGUGACUCUGACGAGCAUUGUGACGCAGAGGCACAGGCUGCUGUGAGACCCCCACCUCCAGAAGGUCUCCUCUGGGCUGUCAGACACAGUUUCCUUGAGGACAUGCUCUUGAAGCUCAGGUGUGAAGAAUGAGUGUGGGGUUAUGAGGUGUGACAGGUUGAAUAAUGGCCCCCAAAGAUGUCUACAUCCUCAUCCUCAGAACGUAGGAAUGUGUUACCUUACAGGGCAAGAAACCUGUGAUUCUAUUAAGGAGUGGAGCUGUGAGUCUCCUGGAUUAUCUGGGUGGCACAAUGUCAUCACAGGAGGCCUUAUAAGAAGGCAGCAGGAGGGUCAGAGUCAGAGAUGUGAAGAUGGAAGCAGAGGUCAAGUGAUGGCGUUGCUGGAAGGGGGCUGUGAGCCAAGGAAGCCUCUAGAAGCUGGAAGAGGCAAGGAAAUGGAUUCUCCCCCUCGAGCCUCCAAAAGGAGCAAAGCCCUGCUGGCCCACUUUGGAGACUUCUGAUCCUCAGAAUGGCCCAGUUUGGAAGACAAAUGAUAUAUUCACCCUCCUUCGGGGGUCAAGGAGGAGAAAGCAUCCGGGAGGAGGAAACACAGGUGUAAAAUACCACGGAAAGAACAAGGAAGCGGUGUUUGCAAUGUGGUCCGCUGGAGUUGAGUUUGGCAAACUGCUGACUUUGAGAGAGGUUUCUGAGGAAAGAAGUGGAUUGUCAGUAUGACAGCCUAUGAGUCAAGUGAAGAAGCCCAUGAAAAUAUUUUAUGCUGCCAAUUUUGGCCAGCUUGUACGGACAACUGACUGAUAACUUGCAGUAUGGACUGGAAGCAAGAAUUUAGGGUAGGCAUGGAUGGGCUGAAGCUCUGGCUGGCAACAUGAGAAAUCUGUCUCCAUAUUCAAGCUGUUACCGCAAAGCUGUGUCUCCUCAGUGCCCUUAUAUACAAAGAAACCGUUGCCCUCCAGAAUGCGUGUGCAGAUUUAAGACAAGUACUUAAUGAAGCUGAUAAACUUGUCAAUCAUGUCACAAGCAGGCAGUUCAAUAAAGACCUGACCUGUUUUCUUGGCUGAGUGAAGAGACGGGUGGUGACUACAAA